rnacentral:lncRNA from 1 species
CUGGGACAAUGGAGUAGAGCAGGAGAGGUAGGAAUGGCCACAGGGCGGCAAAGAGCCUGACUCCUUAGUGAUUCUGGAAUAAUUUGGAGACACUGGGAGUGUUGGAGGAAUUAGACAGUUUCUCACUUGGUAAAGGUACUCUAUGAGGUUACAGUACCGAGAACUGAGUUGUGAGAGGUGAGGAGUGUUACUAAGGGCAUUCAGGUUGGGGCACCUGCUGUUCAAGGAGAAACUUCGGGGCCUGGAAUCACAGCCAGUGAUCUACAUGAACAGGGACAGCUACACAUUCAGUCGAGACUUGCUUGAAUAUUAAGGCUCCCGAGAACACCCAUUGAGCAGUGGCCAUGAGGUCAUCAGAGAAUUGAAGCCCUGUGGGCCACACUCAGGACCCCAGUCCCCAGUAUUCUGUGAGCACUGAAGUACCCUACCCUGAUGGCCAUGAUAUGAG